rnacentral:lncRNA from 1 species
CUCCAAGACCUAAAAACCUCCCAUCAGGCCCCACCUCCAACACCGGGGAUCAAAUUUCAACGUAAGAUUUGGAAAGGUCAAAAAUCCAAACUAUAGCAGCUAGUAAAGCAUUAUUUCUGGGUGCGUCUGUGAGGGUGUUUCUGGAGGAGAUGGGCAUGCAAAUUGGUAAACUGAGUGGAGAAGUUCUGCCCUCAGGGGUGGGUGGGCACCAUCCAAUCGGUUGUGAACCUGGAGAGAACAAAAAGGCAGAGGAAAUUCUAAUUUGCAGUCUCUCGGAGCUGGGACAUCCUUCCUCUCCUGUCCUUGGACAACAGAUCCCCAGGUUCUCUGGCCUUUGGACUUUGGGACUUGCACUAGCAGCACCCUGAGUUAUUAGGCCUUUAGCCUUGGAAUGAGAGUUAUAUUAUCAGCUUCCCUGGUUCUGAGGCCUUCAAACUUAUACUGAGCCAUGCUACUGGCAUCCCAGCAUUUCCAGCUUGCAGAAGGCCUGCCAUGGGACUCCUCAGCCUCCAUAAUUGUGUCCUGUCAGCCGCUGGAUCCCACAAAACUCUGCAGAGAUUUUGCCACCUGGACUAAGGUAACUAAGCUCACAUGACUCCCCCCUCAGCCCUGUCCCCAGCCUAGGUACUCACCAUUUAUUAUAGAGAUUAACUUGAUUUAUGCUUGAUUUUACUUGCCAUGUUUUCUCCCAAAUAUUUUGUCCCUGAUUAGGCCUUUCUGUUUCUUGCAUGGGCCAGACUUGAAAUUUAAAAAGCCAGAAAGGAGUCUCUUUCUGCCUCCUCCCCUGCUGUCACUCCAAGGCAAUCAACAUAGAACAGCUUAGCAAAAUGUAUGUGAGGAGGAACAAAGGAGAUAAGAAAUGCCAAACUAUGAGUGAGUGUUUCUAAACAUUAUCCUACAUUAUCUUCUCUACCUUGUACUUUCAAUACAUCAUCUCAUUUGAUCUUCACACUCCAAGGUAACAAUGCAAAGUCCUAAUGUCUUCUUUUACAAAAGAAAAAGCAGGCAGGAGAGCCUGCAUGACUUUCCUAAGACUCCAUGAUAAUGGGCAGGAGUAGGGCACACCUGG